AGUGGUAGCUGGAACUCCUACUUGGAUGCACAGCUGACGACCAUAUCAUAAUUACUCAUUGGAGGUUAAAGAAGACAAGUGCCCUCUUUCGAUACUCCCUUCCUUCUCUUCGUCCAUCUUUACUCCAAUACAUUUCAUGGACUUGCCUAAAUUUCUUGCCACUGUGUUACUGAUCUGUCUUCUCACCUACGAAUCCUAUGUGGAUGCAGCAUCGGAGGAACAAGAUUUUCUAAGAACUUGUUCGUCUCAUCGCUGCAGCAAACAUGGACCUGAGAUCCGGUUCCCGUUCCGGCUUUCGAUCGACCCACCAUCGUGUGGCGCACCAGGCAUGCAGCUGUCAUGCUCCGGGCAUGACACCAUCCUGGAUCACCAUGUUCUUGGGUCUUGCAGAGUGACCGCGAUCUAUUACAGGCACCGUGUCAUCAACGUCAUCCCGCUUGUGGAAUCAUCGAUGGAAUGCCCACUUCAGAAGCUCAUCUCAACAAAUUUAGAAACUGAUGUGUACAAACAACCUCAAUCAUCACAAGUUACGACCCUGGUACGUUGUUCAACUGAUUUCAUACCAGCGGAUCCAUACAGUAUAGCUGGCCCAGCUUCUUGUCUCAGUAACAACGCUACCCAAUUCUGGUAUUUGGCAUCAUUUUCUGCAUCCAUUACUGAUCUCCCAUGGAACUGUGUGGCCAUUAGUAAAGUCAUCCCAAUACCCUUCACCUAUGAUGAACAUGGCCCUAACAGAGACCCGGACACCUUCAAAGAAAAAGCAAAGGCAGUCUUCAACUAUGGUGAGACAACCUUCACUUGGCACCUCACUACCAUUACCGAUGCCUGCCAACAGUGUGAACAUGAAGGUCGACGUUGUGGAUUUAGCACACAAAGGCGUCAAGCAUUCUGCCAGCAACAUGGUAUUGUGUUAUGUCCCUAGUUAAAUCCCAUAUGUUCAUUAUGGUGUAACAUUUUAUUUUCGAACGACAUUCUAGAUUUUCUGUUUCUCCAUCUACUAGUUUGUUGAUCUCCUAUACUCUGAUGUUAAGUAUUUUUAAUCUUCCCACAGGAUUUUUCACCUAUAAUGAAAUCAGACCAAUAGUUAACUUGUUCAAACACAGCUAGUCUCUAGGUUCACAUCCCUGGAAAUACCCACACAAAACUUUGGUAAAGAAAUGGCAGCGCCAAAUUAUAGGGCCAAAUUAUUAAUGGUUGACUAACUUGCAAAAUUCUCACCAAUUGGAUAUUUUUCAGAUAGUGCUAGUCUUUUAGAUCUAAAGAACAAGCUUUGUUUGACCAUAAGGUCAAGCUUAGUAGGUUUGAUUUCAUUAACUGUGUACUAAUGUUCUUUAUUCUUGCCACGUUAUUGACUUCUACAGUGGUGUAACUUGUAAAUUAUGAAGCCAAUCAACAAAAUAUUUUUCUUACUAGUCGCUGAAUGAACUUAGAUCUUAUGUUAAAGAAACAUAUACGCGGUCUUAUCAAUGUGCAUCAGUAUUCAUGGGAAUCAAUCAUAUUUUUAUGUUCAUACCUACUUUUGAGCAGAAUUCUAUCAUGUCACUCAGAGUUCUUUCAUCCCAUAUAGUGAUUACCGAUGAACAUUAAUUUCAACGAACUUGUCUUCAAUUAAAUCCUGUUCAAAAUUCAAAAUCCCAAUACUCAACUAAAAUACAAAAGAAAUAUUAACUACAAAGUAAUAAGCAUGUAAAUGUACUUCUUCCAAAAUUUGUACUUUUAAUGUGUUACUGGACUUGCAUGAUAAGUAAAAGAAAAGUAAGCACACAAUGGUACAUCUAUAACAUAACAAGGCAACAUAUCAAUCAACAUAAUACCACAAGUCUGAGGUCGAAAAUACUUGAAACCACGUGUCAGAAAUAACAAGGGAACAUAUCAAUCAGCAUAAUAACAAGGAAAGCAACCUAUAUCCAUACAAGAAACUCGUACACCAAUCAGGAAUUAGUGAUUCCUAACAUAUUUGAGUGUUUUUUUUUCUGUUUUUGUCUACAUUAAAUCAUGGCGAAAUUAAUGAUCUUCUUCCUACAUGCAGAUAUGCGUGCCAUCCGAAUUGCAGCCUCAUCUGUAGCUGCAUUUGUAGUUCUUUCAUUGAUUGUGGCCACUGUGAUAUAUCUCUCAUUGAAGUCAAGGUACAAUGAAGAGAUAAAUAUGAAGGUUGAAAUGUUUCUCAAGGCAUAUGGCUCAUCAAAACCCACAAGGUACACUUUCCCUGAAGUUAAGAAGAUAGCAAGACGGUUCAAGGAUAAACUCGGCCAAGGUGGAUUUGGAAGUGUGUACAAAGGUGAGCUACCAAAUGGAGUGCCUGUGGCAGUCAAGAUGCUAGAGGGCUCCACAGGAGAGGGAGAGGAAUUCAUCAAUGAGGUUGCAACCAUUGGACUAAUCCACCAUACAAAUAUCGUCCGUCUCUUGGGCUUUUGCUCUGAAGGAAUGAGACAGGCUCUUAUUUACGAAUUCAUGCCUAAUGAGUCACUGGAGAAAUACAUAUUUCCACAAGUUUCUAAUACUUCUCGACAACCCCUAGCAACCAACAAAAUGCUAGAUAUUGCUUUAGGCAUUGCUCGAGGAAUGGAAUACCUGCAUCAAGGCUGCAACCAGCGCAUCCUCCACUUUGACAUCAAGCCACAUAACAUCCUGCUGGACUACAACUUCAAUCCGAAGAUCUCAGACUUUGGCCUUGCAAAGCUAUGUGCAAGGGACCAAAGCAUCGUUACCUUGACUGCAGCAAGAGGCACCAUGGGAUACAUCGCACCAGAGCUAUAUUCUCGGAACUUUGGAGGGGUGUCUUACAAGUCAGAUGUGUACAGUUUCGGCAUGCUGGUGUUGGAAAUGGUGAGCGGGCGGAGGAACUCAGACCCAAGUGUUGAGAACCAGGACGAGGUAUAUCUCCCGGAGUGGAUCUACGAGAGAGUAAUCAGUGGGCAUGAAUGGGAGCUUACUUCAGAAAUGACAGUAGAAGACAAAGAAAAGAUGAGGCAGCUGACUAUUGUGGCUCUGUGGUGCAUCCAAUGGAACCCCAAGAAUCGGCCAUCAAUGACAAAGGUGGUAAACAUGUUAACAGGGAGGUUGCAGAACCUACAGAUUCCCCCCAAGCCCUUUGUGUCAUCUGACAAUCGUCAUAUGCCACAGAACACGACAAACACAUGAACACGCAUUGCAUGUUUACGUGUGUAUCAUUACACGUUUGAGGGAACUUAUCUCGCAUCUGUGUUGUAAACAGUAAUUCCUUGGCACUAGCUUGGCCAAUGUUCGAUUACAUACUGAACCACAUGGGAUUUUGCAGUACCGUUAACACUGCAUCUGUAUCUUACUCCCAUAUUGUAAUUCUAUUAGUUAGAAACACACGACACUGGAUUUUGCAG
rnacentral:rRNA from 1 species